rnacentral:rRNA from 1 species
GCUACGGGAGGCAGCAGUGGGGAAUAUUGCACAAUGGGGGAAACCCUGAUGCAGCGACGCCGCGUGAGCGAUGAAGUAUUUCGGGAUGUAAAGCUCUAUCAGCAGGGAAGAAAAUGACGGUACCUGACUAAGAAGCCCCGGCGAACUACGUGCCAGCAGCCGCGGUAAUACGUAGGGGGCAAGCGUUAUCCGGAUUUACUGGGGGGACAGGGCGCGGAGCCUGCGGGGCAAGCCAGCUGUGAAAGCCCGGGGCUCCACCCCGGGCCUGCAUUUGGAACUGUGCUGCUAGAGUGUCGGAGAGGCAGGCGGAAUUCCUAGUGUAGCCGUGCCAUGCGUAGAUAUUAGGAG